rnacentral:rRNA from 1 species
CGGGUGAGUAACACGUGGGUGACCUUCCCCAAAGACGGGGAUAACUCUUGGAAACAGGGGCUAAUACCCGAUGUGCUCAGCAGUUCACUCUGUUGAGUAAAGCUAUGGCGCUUUGGGAUGGGCCCGCGGCCCAUCAGCUAGUUGGUAGGGUAAAGGCCUACCAAGGCUAAGACGGGUAGGGGGCGUGAGAGCGCGAUCCCCCACACUGGCACUGAGACACGGGCCAGACUCCUACGGGAGGCAGCAGUGAGGAAUAUUGCGCAAUGGACGAAAGUCUGACCCAGCGACGCCGCGUGGGCGAUGAAGGCCUUCGGGUCGUAAAGCCCUUUUCUGGGGGAAGAGAAAGGACGGUACCCCAGGAAUAAGCCCCGGCUAACUACGUGCCAGCAGCCGCGGUAAAACGUAGGGGGCAAGCGUUAUCCGGAUUUACUGGGCGUAAAGAGCGUUGAGGCGGUUUUGUAAGUUGGGCGUGAAAGCCCUGGGCUUAACUCAGGGAAGCCGUUCAAUACUGCGAAACUUGAGGGCAGCAGAGGGAGGUGGAAUUCCCGGAGUAGCGGUGAAAUGCGUAGAUAUCGGGAGGAACACCAGUGGCGAAGGCGGCCUCCUGGGCUGCUCCUGACGCUGAAGGCGAAAGCUAGGGGAGCGAACGGGAUUAGAAACCCCGGUAGUCCUAGCCGUAAACGAUGGAUGCUAGGUGUGGGGGGUGUAGAUUCCCUCCGUGCCGCAGUUAACGCGUUAAGCAUCCCGCCUGGGGAGUACGGCCGCAAGGCUAAAACUCAAACGAAUUGACGGGGGCCCGCACAAGCAGCGGAGCGUGUGGUUUAAUUCGACGCUACACGAAGAACCUUACCUGGGCUUGACAUACAGGUAGUAGUGAAGUGAAAGCGGAUCGACCCUUCGGGGAGCCUGUACAGGUGCUGCAUGGCUGUCGUCAGCUCGUGCC